rnacentral:rRNA from 1 species
AGGGAAUAUUGCAAAAUGGGCGAAAGCCCGAUGCAGCAACGCCGCGUGGGCGAUGAAGGCCUUCGGGUCGUAAAGCCCUUUUUGAGGGGAUGAGGAAGGACAGUACCCUCAGAAUAAGCCUCGGCUAACUACGUGCCAGCAGCCGCGGUAAAACGUAGGAGGCGAGCGUUAUCCGGAUUUACUGGGCGUAAAGCGCGUGCAGGCGGAUUGGAGAGUUGGAUGUGAAAGCUCCCGGCUUAACUGGGAGAGGUCGUUCAAUACUUCCAGUCUUGAGUGCAGUAGAGGGAAGUGGAAUUCCGGGUGUAGUGGUGAAAUGCGUAGAUAUCCGGAGGAACACCAGUGGCGAAAGCGGCUUCCUGGACUGUAACUGACGCUCAGGCGCGAAAGCUAGGGUAGC